rnacentral:rRNA from 1 species
AGCAGCCGCGGUAAUUCCAGCUCCAAUAGCGUAUAUUAAAGUUGUUGCAGUUAAAAAGCUCGUAGUUGAAUUUCGGGGUUAGCAGGUCGGUCGUGCUAUCGGUAUGAACUGGUCUCGCUGAUCCCUCCCUCUUGACGAACUGUGAUGCCAUUAAUUUGGUGUCGCAGGGAAUCAGGACUGUUACUUUGAAAAAUUGAGUGUUUAAAGCAGGCUCACGCUUGAAUACAUUAGCAUGGAAUAAUGAAAUAGGACGUUUGAUCCUAUUUUGUUGGUUUCUAGGAUUGACGUAAUGAUUAAUAGGGAUAGUUGGGGCAUUAGUAUUCAAUUGUCAGAGGUGAAAUUCUUGGAUUUAUUGAGGACUAACUACUGCGAAAGCAUUUGCCAAGGAUGUUUUACAUUAAUCAAGAACGAAAGUUAGGGGAUCGAAGACGAUCAGAUACCGUCAUAGUCUUAAACCAUAAACUAUGCCGACUAGGGAUUGGAUGAUGUUAAUUUUUAAUG